CUUUUCUAUCGAACUUUGCUGAAUAACACAACUUAAUAAGCACAGUUUACAGACUGAUCUGAGAGAUGUUGACUGAUUGGAGGUUUUACUUUCAGUCCAGAGGUGUUCUCGUAUUAUUACGGAGGAAAGCACGGUGUGGGUGUGCCCUUUGAACUAACAACGCGGAUUCGUUGUUCACACUUUUCGUUAGGAAAAGUGAGGGUGACGAUCCGCAAUGCCAAUUGGUUAUAGCCCACGUUAAUAAAUGAAGAUAGGAGGAGGAAGCCUCCUACCAACGUAGCUCGCAGGUGACAUUGUUCAUGGGAAAAACCAGCUUUUCCGUUAGACAAAUAUUCGUUUUUCUCAUUAGAACGGUUCAACGACCUAGCUCACCUGGAGCACCGAUCCUCGAGUGGACGCCGAGCCAUCUCGUUUGAUCCAAACAGAGGCGGUGCUCGGGAAAUUCUAGAAAAAGUUGGGAGUCGCGUCAGGUGAGAUAAGGCCCCCGGCCGUAUCUUCUGCUCUGUCGCAAUUUACGGGGCGAACAACUGGGGAUUGGGGGUGGGGGAAUAGGAACAGUGAGCCAGAAAUACAGUGAGGAAAUAUAGGAAGUGUCCUGGGGAUACGGCGGAAACAGAACUUCGACUUGGCGGGAGGAACGGCCUUCUGCCUCGGCGAGAAGUCUUUUAUCGGAGGUGGAACAGAGGGGGUGGUAGAAGUCGCGGCGUGGUAACGCGAGAGCGGAGCAGAUAUUUGAUACACGCGAGCUCCAUCACGAUAUUUGAAUAACGAGAUAAGCAUUCUUCCGUGCUCUAGUCGAUAAACUCGUUCCUUGGUCUUCCAAUUUCUGUUUUCGAGGGUUCUAUCGGUGUUCUAGGUUGGCACAGCCAAUCGACGAUACGCGGAACGAUGGUUUCUGAUAGAGCAAGUGCUUUUGGCAUAGGUUAGGGCGAGACGCGAGGUAUGAGUAUGUUUAGAGUAACGAACUGCAAUACAAGUUUAUAGCGUGCACGGGACGUACGAACCUUUGUUGGAUCUCCGAAAGAAAAUUUUUGUUUGCUUUCAAAGUGGAUUUUUUUUCUGAUAUUUAAGAACCUUGUGAGUUUUAAAGGAUUCUAUCACAACAUCUCGAUAAUCCUACAAAUUUCGAUAAAAUUUUUAUCGAAAUAAUUAUUUUUCAAUAAAAAUAUCAUAUUCUAUUUGUUUUGUUACACUAUUUUGAAUAACGUAACCGCGUUAACCCGUUCCUCGUUGUUUCAUCAACGGCAUUAG
rnacentral:misc_RNA from 1 species